rnacentral:lncRNA from 1 species
CAACCCAAACCAAAUGAGAUCUUAGGAGGGAGAAAGAGAAUGUUGCAUGUGUAGCAGCUUUUAAGCAGCAGGCAACAAUCAAGCCAACCACAAACACCUGCAGAAGAUCUCGCCUAAACCCUGGAGGGAAGACAGCAGACAGACACUGGGGGCCUUAACAGGCACAAAUUCAACUUCA